AAUGAACGCUGGCGGCGUGCCUAACACAUGCAAGUCGUGCGCGAAAGGGGCUUCGGCCCUGAGUAGAGCGGCGAACGGGUGAGUAACACGUGGGUGACCUGCCUGGGGGUGGGGGAUAACCUGGGGAAACUCGGGCUAAUACCGCAUACGUUCCCGGAGCUACGGUUCCGGGAGGAAAGGUGGCCUCUGCUUGCAAGCUACCGCUCCCAGAGGGGCCCGCGGCUGAUUAGCUAGUUGGUGGGGUAAUGGCCCACCAAGGCGACGAUCAGUAGCCGGCCUGAGAGGGUGAUCGGCCACACUGGAACUGAGACACGGUCCAGACUCCUACGGGAGGCAGCAGUGGGGAAUAUUGGACAAUGGGGGCAACCCUGAUCCAGCAACGCCGCGUGGGGGAUGAAGGUCUUCGGAUUGUAAACCCCUGUUAAGAGGGACGAAGGCUUUCGGGCAAACAGUCCGGAAGCUUGACGGUACCUCUAGAGGAAGCCCCGGCUAACUCUGUGCCAGCAGCCGCGGUAAUGUCUAG
rnacentral:rRNA from 1 species